GGGUUACAUGAGAGGAGAGAAGGUUAGCACUCCCCUUGACAAGGAUGCAAGAGGCUCUCUGGCCUAAAAAAAAAAAAAAGAUGAGGAACCAGUCUCUACCUUGACUUUCACUGUGACUCAGGAACUGCUUUU